UACAGAGGGUGCAAGCGUUAAUCGGAAUUAUUGGGCGUAAAGCGCACGUAGGCGGGUCAUCAAGUCGGUUGUGAAAUCCCUCGGCUUAACCGAGGACGUGCAGUCGAAACUGACGGCCUUGAGUACGAAAGAGGAUCGCGGAAUUCCCGGUGUAGAGGUGAAAUUCGUAGAUAUCUGGAGUAACACCGGUGGCGAAGGCGGCGUUCUGGACUGUUUCUGACACUGAAAAACGAAAGCCAGGGGAGCAAACGGG
rnacentral:rRNA from 1 species